rnacentral:rRNA from 1 species
GACAGAGGUUGCAAACGUUGUUCGGAAUUACUGGGCAUAAAGCGCACGUAGGCGGUCCGUUAAGUCAUGUGUGAAAUCCCCCGGCUCAACCGGGGAAUUGCGCCUGAUACUGGCGGGCUAGAGGUCGAUAGGGGUGAGCGGAACUCCAGGUGGAGCGGUGAAAUGCGUAGAUAUCUGGAGGAACACCGGUGGCGAAAGCGGCUCACUGGAUCGAAACUGACGCUGAGGUGCGAAAGCGUGGGGAGCAAACAGG